rnacentral:lncRNA from 1 species
CUUGAACGGAAAAGCAGAGAAAAUUCUCAAAGGACAGCGUCUGUGCCUGGGCUGGUCCUCCUGGGAGAGGAGAGGAAUAAAACCAAUCCAGAGAGGGCACCCCCAUCUUUGUAAAGGAGAAGGGAGAAGUAAUUAGAAUGCCACGGAGGUGGGAAGAGAAAAAAAAAGAAAAGAAAAUUCGGGCCCUUUCCAUCGGGCCCUUUCCAGCAAGAAGAUGACGAGGAAAGGAAGAACGCCUGGUCGAGGGGGGCUGUCCCAACAUGGGGAGGGAGUGGACUAGGCCGGAGGGAGAGGGGGUGGAACGACGGCGCAAAAACAAGCUGGAAAGGGAGGAAAAUGGUGACCCUGCACUCAGAACCGGCUCCAGGCCACGCCGCCCGCUUGGGGGCAACUUUGCUGGGGAGGAGGGUCCCGGUCUAGGUCCGCGCUGAGCAAUGAGAUGAAGUCCGAGGGCAUCGCAGCUCGACCCAGCCCGGCCCG